AAAUAAGAAACAAUAAAUUGUAUUUAGUUUCGACCUAAAAUUUAGAUAAUAAUAUCCUUAUUUA
rnacentral:tRNA from 2 species